GACAGAGGGUGCAAACGUUGUUCGGAAUUACUGGGUGUAAAGCGCGUGUAGGCUGCUUCGCAAGUCGGAUGUGAAAGCCCUGGGCUCAACCUAGGAAGUGCAUUCGAAACUGCGAAGCUUGAGUCCUGGAGAGGAAGGCGGAAUUCUCGGUGUAGAGGUGAAAUUCGUAGAUAUCGAGAGGAACACCGGUGGCGAAGGCGGCCUUCUGGACAGUGACUGACGCUGAGACGCGAAAGCGUGGGGAGCAAACAGG
rnacentral:rRNA from 1 species